AGUACUCCAUAGACCUCUUUUGUGGAUGUUUAUUUUUUUUUAUUUGUAAAUAAUCAUCUCUACCUUUGGUCUUAGAUGUAAAGUUCUGAAUAACUUGUAGACAGAAAUUGGUUACAUAUUUUACAUUUCUGCCUAUGGUGAUUCAGAAGAAAAUAUGUUAGAUACAGCCUAGUAAUUAGUUGAAUAAAGAUUAAAAGUAAUUUUUUU